rnacentral:rRNA from 1 species
GGAAUAUUGGACAAUGGGCGCAAGCCUGAUCCAGCCAUGCCGCGUGAGUGAAGAAGGCCUUAGGGUUGUAAAGCUCUUUCGCCGAUGAAGAUAAUGACGGUAGUCGGAGAAGAAGCCCCGGCUAACUUCGUUCCAGCAGCCGCGGUAAUACGAAGGGGGCUAGCGUUGUUCGGAUUUACUGGGCGUAAAGCGCGCGUAGGCGGGUUGUUAAGUCAGGGGUGAAAUGCCGAGGCUCAACCUCGGAACUGCCUUUGAUACUGGCAACCUGGAGUUCGGGAGAGGUGAGUGGAAUUCCGAGUGUAGAGGCGAAAUUCGUAGAUAUUCGGAGGAACACCAGAAGCGAAGGCGGCUCACUGGCCCGAUACUGACGCUGAGGCGCGAAAGCGUGGGGAGCAAA